GUCACAAUGCAAAUUCACUUGUGUUCACCUACCCACAGGGGCCUCCAAGGAGCCACCACCCACUCCAACCCACCUCACAAAGAGGCAAGUGAAGCAGAAGGUGGAGAGCUUGACCACUCUGCUCCAGGUGAUGACUGCCGAAAUGGAAUCAUCUGAGAGAUCACCUCUUGUUAGUAACAGAAGGAUCCUUGUACAACAGGUCAGAAAAACUCCUACAUGAUCUGGAACAUUCCACAGCUCAGGAUGAGAGCCUCCUACCCACAGAGCUACUGCAGCAGGAACACUAAGUGUCAUAAGCAAGUGAGCCGCCAUGACAUCCCAUCCCCAGCACCCUUUAUGAGAACUGAGAAGGCUUAAGGAAUCUGUAGUCAACUAGAAACCCUGACAGUCUC